CUUAAACCUAAACUUAAAAAUCCAAACUUAAACCCGAACCCGAUUUCCUAAACCUAAACCUUAACCUAUUCUCAAAUCCCUAAACCUAAACCUACAUCUAAUCCUAAUCUCAACUCCCUAACCUAAACCUAAACCUAAACUUGAAAACGCAAACCUAAACCGGAUCCCGAACCCGAACUCGAACCCGAUUUCCUAAACCUAAACCUACAUCUAAUCCUAAUCUCAACUCCCUAACCUAAACCUAAACCUAAACUUGAAAACUCAAACCUAAACCCGAUCCCGAACCGAAACUCGAACCCGAUUUUCUAAACCUAAACCUUAACCUAUUCUCAAAUCCCUAAACCUAAACCUACACCUAAUCCUAAUCUCAACUCCCUAACCUAAACCUAAACCUAAACUUGAAAACCCAAACCUAAACCCGAUCCUGAACCCGAACCCGAUUUCCUGACGUUUAUUUUGGCCCUACAAACCAUAUGGUGAGACCAUUCCUUUUGUGUCAAUUUUAUUCCUCUUUGAGCUUUUAUUAAUUCAUUAAGAAAAAAAGAAGAAGAAAAUGGUUAUACAUGAUGCACUUCUUUCACUUUGUUUUUCUUUCCUCCAAUGGUUAUUUUGAUUUGUGAAUGCCAUGACUAUUUGUAGGAUGAUGGAAUAUACGAAGCUAUUGCAGGAAGUGACUUUGUCAUUACUAGAGGUUCAUUUUGAGAUGACUCUUCAAAGUACUACAUAAAUGAGUGUGGAAGUAAUUUUACAGAGGUCACUAAGAAAUUGAAAGGAAAAGGAGUGGACUUGGACUACAAUCAGUUUUUUAUUCUUCAGGGUGAAGUCGAGCAAAUUUCUCUAAUGAAGCCAAAGAUUUGUAUUUUCAGCAUUAUUGUAAUUGUAAUUGUAAUUGAUUGAAUGAAGGAUUGUAAUUGAUUGAAUGAAUGAUUGUAAUUGAUUGUAAUUGAAUGAAUGAUUGUAAUUGAUUGUAAUUGAAUGAAUGAAUGAUUGUAAUUGAUUGUAAUGGAAUGAAUGAAUGAUUAUGUAGGUGGUAAUUGAAUGAAAAAAUAA